rnacentral:rRNA from 1 species
CCUACGGGUGGCAGCAGUGGGGAAUAUUGCACAAUGGGGGAAACCCUGAUGCAGCGACGCCGCGUGAGUGAAGAAGUAUUUCGGUAUGUAAACUUCUGUCAGCAGGGAAGAAGAUGACGGGACCUUACUAAGAAACCCAGGCUAACUACGUGCCAGCAGCCGCGGUAAUACGUAGGGGGCAAGCGUUAUCCGGAUUUACUGGGUGUAAAGGGAGCGUAGGCGGCGAUGCAAGUCAGAAGUGAAAGCUCUGGGCUCAACUCCGAGACUGCUUUUAAAACUGUGUUGCUAGAUUGCAGGAGAGGUAAGUGGAAUUCCUAGUGUAGCGGUGAAAUGCGUAGAUAUUAGGAGGAACACCAGUGGCGAAGGCGACUUACUGGACUGUAAAUGACGCUGAGGCUCGAAAGCGUGGGGAGCAAACAGGAUUAGAUACCCUUGUAGUC